GUGUGCACCAAGCAAGGGUCCCUUCCUGCAGCCACCCUUACCACUCAAGGUCAUCUGCCUGGUGCCCCUUUAGAUGCUAGCCAGUUCUGAAGAGAACACUGAAUGACAACUCACUUCGAGUCAGCUGACUGUUGUGUCAUAGCUGCUGCUUUCUGCAUUGCUGCAAAUGCCAGCCCCAGCUCCUGCCGCUUUCUAGUCGCAAUGCAGCAAAGCUGACGCGUACAACUAGGCACAAAGCAACAGAGUUCUAAAGUUUUCUUUUUCUGCUACUACUUAGCAUUGCUCACAGGAGGAGUAUUUACCUUUGUUUAGCCAGGAGCCGAGAUGCAGUCUGAUUGUACACGAUGGCUUCUAGCGUGCAUAUUCAGCUGACCAGGUACUGCUCGGAGCCUGGUCACCAAACUGCCUCUGACGGGGCACGGCUGGUCGCCCACCACGCGUGUGUACAGUUUGGGGGCUUCGUACGCCACGCUGCUCUACCUGCAGGAGUAAAGGCUAGGACAAAGGAGAGGAUGCUUGCCAUGGUUUGUCUGGCUGGGGCCUGGGCGACUCACCGCAUUGACGCUGUGGGAUUCCCCAGCUCCCACUUAAGGCUGGUCACGGGGGCUGGCGCAGAUCCCCACUCCUCAGUUAGAACACGGUUUAAAGGAGAAACCAGACUCACUGACCUAAAUCAAUCCCAGUCCUCUCUGGAUGCGGGACAGCUGUCGACUAGCAGUGACACAAUCAGCCAUGGAGUGGAGAAUCCUUGCGACUGCAGUCUGGGUGCAGGUGGAGCCUGGGAGAAUGACAGUCUAAUUUUGGUCAUCUGAUGGCUGCUUCUUAUUUUCCUAAAUAAUCAAGCUCGCUAAGUACACAGUGGUCUGGAUUAGUCUUCCUUCCAUGCAGUCCUCAUCAACUCUGGCUGGAAAUCAGGGUGCCAGGCAAGCCUGCGUUAGGACUGGCUUCUUCCUACGUGAUGCUAUGCAGCUAGGAUGGGUCACCCUGACAACAAAGGAGGACGCAGAAAGCAUCACUUUAUCUUCUCUUGUGAUGUUAGCUGAACAUAGCUCUUCGCAGUGAUGCCCUCCUGUGUAUGUGUGCAUGUGUGUGUGUGCGUGUGUGUGUGUAUUUCAAUUCAUCUAAUCGAAGAACCUCACAGAUAUCACCAUGGAUGUGGUUUUUAAUGAUUUGGAAAGAAAGACAGCCUGUGGAGACAGCGAUUUGAGACAGCACAUUUAGGUUAUUGCCAAUUUGAAAUACUCCGUUUGCAAAGCCGAGCCCUAAGGGGCAAACUUGGUAACUGAGAAAGAGAUCGUAGAUAAAGAAAUAAAAAUGACAAGCGUAAUGGAGGCUCUGCGAAGGGACUGUCAGAGCAUCAGUUCAUGGAUGGCAAUUUCGCCAGGCUGAGACUGAAUAAUUCAUAGAUUGAAAGUACCCUGCUUUCACCUUUCCAUUUAAACCGGCAUGAUCUGAAUCUCUAAUAAAUUUUCAAGAUAAAGUAAAAUGCCAAUUUGAAUCUGAAGAGCUUUUCAAAGCAGAUGCUGUAUCCCUGAAUCUUUCCGUAUCUUCCACAAUUAUCCUAUGAGAGAGAAUUGCACUUCAUCACGAAGCACCAUUACCAGGGAAAAUUACUGUGAUUACAAUAGCAACAAUAGGACAGCAUCAAAUGAUCUCCAAUUUACCUAAUUUGCUAAGACUGACUGUGGUUUUAAUGCUCAUUGCAUGUCACCAUGACCGGCAACCAUGGAUCUGUCUCGAGCUGGAAAAAAAGUAGGGUAAUGUGUGUACCUUACCUCCAAAAACCUAGCAAAGAACAUCCUUUUAGGUUACAAUAUCUCUUUCAUUUGGUUUACUUGUUUUGCUUUCUUUCUAAUACCUCUACCCCAAAUGCCUGCUUGGGGAAAUGGUGAGCCUGUUAUGCAUUGUAAGUUUAUUCUUUGCUACAGGAGAGGACUGAAUUGCUAAUUUAUACACCCUCUUUAUUUUAAUAUAUACAAGCAUGUGUUUACCAGAGGGAGGAAAGAUUCUGUCCUGGGAGGAUAGUUUUAAAAUGCAGAUAAAAUCCAAGUGUGCAUGUUUGCUUCUUCUUUGAAAGCCUUGUGCGUUUACAGGUUAGAAAUCCUUCCAGGGAGCUGUAAUCCUGGGGUGGUGUGUUAAAAACCUUUCAGACUGAACAGCAGCUCAGGUGGCAGAGCCGAUAAUAACCCGGCACAGCCCAUACUGAAAGCGUGUGUGGGAGAGACUUCAGUUGUUCUUUUCUGCUCACUGUGGAGAAGUCUGCUUUGGAGAACUUUUUAUCUGACAGACUGCUCUGCUCAUUUGGAGGUAACUGUGCCGUCUUGAGAGGGUGGCAUGGAUCAUAAAUUCUCCCUGGAGAACAGACUGUAAUCAUUUCAUAGGCACAGUGACUUCAGGAAUUUGCAUUGCACGAAGAUGGUGGUAGGUUGCUUUGGUACACAAGAAGUAACCCAGUGGCUUUAUGAACAAUCACCAGCUCUUCUACCUGGAUGCUUCUCUGCCUUUUCCCUUUCCUCCUCUAGUUUCUCCACUUGGUUUUCUCUUUUCUACUUUCUCUCCACUCCUACAUUCACCCCCUCAGAAACAAGGGAAACAAAUCAUAUCAUGUUUUAAGUCAUUCCACUGCAUACAAUUUCAUAGAAAUAGUUACAGGAAGCAAAGAUGAGGGAUUAAAGAAUCACAAGAACUAUUCAGGGAUUAGUUUCUCUUGGUCUUAAUUAAAACAUAAAUGAGUUGAGGACUGGCCUUUCAAGACCUUUUCACUAAUCCAUUCCUCGGAUCCAGUCUUAUGCAUGAGAUUUAUCAUUACUCUCUUAACUGAACCCUACACUGAAUUUCACAAGUCCCUUAAUACUUGUGUCAGUGUAGCUUCUGAGAAUGAGGCCAUUUUCUAUGCAUCCAAAAUCUGCUGAAUUUCAUAGACUGUAGCUUCUGGCCACUGGCUUUGGUUGGCAGCACUUCCAUUCCAGAGCAGCACCCAGGCCUUAUGCUCUUGUCCCUUGGCUCCCCGGGGAUGGGGAAGGUCCCACAGCUCCCUUUCCCAGGCUUUGGUACACCUACACCAGGUAGUCACCUUCUACGUGGUGCCUCCCUCAGCCAGUUUUCUUUACUUGGUUCAGCAUGCUCAAAGCUUUUAUUUCAUAAUUCCCAUGGGGUCUGUCCUUGUCUGAAAUGCUUCCAGUUUGCCUAUUUUUACAAAGCAGUAUUUGGAUAUAACAGACCAAUUAAGAGUUUAGGCUCUGUAGCAAGACAAACCUGGACUGCAAUCUCAAUUUUCCAACUAAACAGGCAUAUUACCACAUUAUUUUGUUUCCCUUCUUCAGUGUUGCUGUAUUAAAUUAUAUUUAUGUAUUAUAAUAGAUAUAUGUUAUACAUGCUACAUAUGUGUAUGCAGGUACUUAGCAUAGUACCUGCCACGCAACUGAUAAUCAUUCUGUACUAGUGUCAUCAUUAUCAUAUCAAUGGGUGUCAUCAUCCUAGACCUCAAAUGGCCCUCCCUCAAUCACGGUCACAUAAUAAGUCCUCAAAAACUGCCCUCUCUUCCUAUGUCCAAAUUUACUCAUCCUAAUGAACCUUCCAUUAGAGUUCUUUCUUUUUCUCAAGGUCUAAAAAUAUCCCUGGCUUCCAGCUCAGGGUGGAGCCCAAUGAACCAUUAAGCUCCUCCAGAAACUUCAUCGUGAUGUGGAACAAGAAGAUUGAUUUUCCAAGAGCCCCAGGCCCAGAAGGCGCUGGAGUCACUGAAGAUUUGAGAGCCCCAAGCAGAAACAGGACUGGCUGCUCCUUCAGAGCCCACAGAAGAGAUGUCCAGGGGUUCCCAUGCUGAGCAUGGUUGGGACCUCUCUCAAGAGGUUCCUAGGAAUGGGAGGUUUGAGAUACUCAAUUUAUGCAUUUGAGGAACCAAGGAACAGGACUGCACACGAAUUGCUUCAAUGGCCAUUGAAGAGGAUGAAGAUCUCAGGCUUUCUGGGACACAACCAGAGGCUGAGCACACCUUGGAUCAUCCUUGAAGGAACCACAAGAAUCACAUGGCACUUGGGAAAGGGUGAAGUAGCUGCCAUUGGCUGGUAUUCCAACAAAUGUUCAUUGAGCACCUAAUGUUUGCCGCACAAUAUUCUAGGGGAUAAAUAAAAAGAAUGUAAAUUCUGCUCUCAAGGGGCUUAUCAACAGAUUAGAAGAUGUAUUUUCAAAAUACAUAUGUUUAAAAUUUUC
rnacentral:lncRNA from 1 species